UACGAGAGGCGCAAACGUUAUUCGGAUUUACUGGGCUUAAAGAGUUCGUAGGCGGCGCAGAAAGUAGGGUGUGAAAGCCCUCGGCUCAACCGAGGAAUUGCGCUCUAAACUACUGUGCUUGAGGGACCUAGAGGUGAGCGGAACUGAUGGUGGAGCGGUGAAAUGCGUUGAUAUCAUCAGGAACACCGGAGGCGAAGGCGGCUCACUGGGGGUCUUCUGACGCUGAGACGCGAAAGCGUGGGGAGCAAACAGG
rnacentral:rRNA from 1 species